AGAAUCAACGCUGGCGGCGCGCUUAACACAUGCAAGUCGAGCGAGAAAGGGGAGCAAUCCCUGAGUACAGCGGCGUACGGGUGAGUAACACGUGGAUCAUCUACCUUUUAGUGGGGAAUAACCCUGGGAAACCGGGCUAAUACCGCAUAACAUCGCAAGAUCAAAGCAGCAAUGCGCUUAAAAGAGGGGGUCGCGGCUGAUUAGCUAGUUGGCGGGUAACGCCCACAAGGCGAAGAUCGGUA
rnacentral:rRNA from 1 species